rnacentral:tRNA from 1 species
GCCCUCAUAGCUCAAUGGAUAGAGCAAUCCCGUCCUAAGGGAGAGAUGUAAGUUCGAUUCCUACUGGGGGCACAA